GUGAAAUUGUUGAAAGGGAAACGAUUGAAGUCAGUCGUACAUCGGAUGGGAAAUCAACCUUUUGAGUGUGGAUUCGUGGGAUUAAAAAAGAUUUUGUUCUCGCGGCAUUUGCGUUUUAUGGGUGUACUUUCCCGUAUCGUAAGUCAGCAUCGAUUUCGAUCGUUAUAAAAUGAUCGGAGGAAUGUAGCUUCGACCUCGGUUGAAGUGUUAUAGCCUUUGGUAGAUGUAACGGUUGGGAUCGAGGAUUGCAAUGAAUACCCAAACGGGCUAUCCAUCUGGUCUCUGAUUAGUGACUCUGGCAUUGAAAGCGUGCUUACGAUGUUAGAGUAUGCGGUCAAAAGGUUAGAACGGAUUAAAUUUGUUAAGGAUGCUGACGUAAUGGCUUUAAACGAC
rnacentral:rRNA from 1 species